GACGAAGGAUGCAAGCGUUAUCCGGAUUCAUUGGGUUUAAAGGGUGCGUAGGCGGACCUGUAAGUCAGUGGUGAAAUCUCUUCGCUUAACGAAGAAACUGCCAUUGAUACUGCAAGUCUAGAGUAUAGAUGACGUUGGCGGAAUAUGACAUGUAGUGGUGAAAUACUUAGAUAUGUCAUAGAACACCGAUUGCGAAGGCAGCUAACGAAAACUAUAACUGACGCUGAGGCACGAAAAGUGCGGGGAUCAAAACAGG
rnacentral:rRNA from 1 species